rnacentral:sRNA from 1 species
GCUCAGCUGGAGAGUGCUGGACAGCUAGGCUGUUGGCCUAACGAGGGGAAAAUGGGUGUUCACAGGUUGCUUCCAGCCUAUGCUGGCUGGCUGACUGGGUCACGGGAUGAUACAUCAUUUUACUUCGAAGCAGCCAGCUCACACCAAGGCUAGAAGGGGUCAGCAUUUUCAUAUGCUGGCAGUUAUUGUCUAAUAAAAUACUGCUCUCUCAAGAUACCAACGAAAAUAAUAUAUAAAGGGUAUAACCAAAACAACAAUAAAAUAUACAUCAUUUACGACCGAUACAUUAAAAAAAGGGAGUGGGGGAAGGGGGCGCAUGCGAGAAAAAGAUAACUAAUAUCGAAACCGAUAAUUAUGUCAAAAUGAUUUCAUAGCCGUCCUGUUGAAUAUGCACAAUCUCCGCAUCAACCCCAUAUUUACGCCGGACCAGCUCAAAGACGAUAAGACCAGCGCUAGUGCUUGGCACCAGACGAACAGCGUUCCCAAAAAAUCCUCUAAAAAGCCAUGAAUGCCAGCCACCCGCGCGUAUGGCUAGUUUCUGACAUCUCCCAAAUAGCCCCAAGUACGCUUCAUAGUGGUGCUUCAUCAUCUUCAUCCCCGAGUGAUCUAACUUGGCCAUCGCGUCGAUGUGCUCCAGCCUUUCAUAGUAGACAGUCUGCACUAGGUUGAGAGGGUGCUGCGCAAACUGCUGCACCAGCGACGCCGUAACGCCGGCUAGCAUCAGGAAACAGGGUUCUAGAGCAUAGUGAGGCUGGAUGGAGGGGAUACCUCCAGAUGAAUACCCUUGAGACUUGAUAGUUUCGAACAUGCCGAAGAAGAGAGCGGAGCCGAACGAAUCCUUCAGGAACGAGAGACCCCAACCGGAAAAGAUGCCCCGAAUGCCUAUUUCAUGAAGUUUAUGUUUACCGUAUUGCCAUACAUUCCUGUACUGGCCCUUUAUCAUAUCACUAGUGCUAAACCGCACCUGGAGCGCGUCCAGGGGCGCUGCGAUUAUGGAUUGUAUUCCUCCUGCAGCAAAACCGGCCGUGAAUGUCAAGCUCGGAGCUGGAGGUGGGUAAAUGCGCUUGGUCGCUUGUAAUGUGGGCUCGUGGAGUCCGCUUAAUAUUUGAAGAUACGAAGUAUAUAGAACUGCCCCAACC